rnacentral:rRNA from 1 species
CGUGAUUUGGGCUAUAUUACGGACCCAAAAUUACUUGUUCAAGCAUUGUUUUCGNAUUUNUUCAUGCAUCAAAGCUCGUUAAGACUAGAUGGGGUAUCCCGACAUAGCGGGUGGGACCCACGGCGAAUGGUUCAUCAAGUCUUCAAAAAAGNAUAUAUAUGAUUGCAUUGCAUAUACUAACGGAUGCGAUCAUACCAGCACUNNUGCACCGGAUCCCAUCAGAACUCCGCAGUUAAGCGUGCUUGGGCGAGAGUANUANUAGGAUGGGUGACCUCCCGGGAAGUCCUCGUGUUGCAUCCCUCUUUUAUGUUUAACUUUUUUUUUUUGGUUAUAACUUUAUGACUCCAUAACUUUUAGACCGUGAGGCCAAACUUGGCAUGUGAUACCUUUUCGGUUAGCCCAAAGACAGCCCUCCGACGAAAGAAGNAGGACUAUGNACUUUUCCAUUGACUCUUUGUCNNCCNCAGCUUUUGACCUUUNUCNUCUUUUUU